rnacentral:miRNA from 1 species
CACCCUGUAGAAUCGAAUUUGU